UGGGGAAUCUUGGACAAUGGGCGAAAGCCUGAUCCAGCCAUGCCGCGUGAGUGACGAAGGUCUUCGGAUUGUAAAGCUCUUUUGGCGGGGACGAUAAUGACGGUACCCGCAGAAUAAGCCCCGGCUAACUUCGUGCCAGCAGCCGCGGUAAUACGAAGGGGGCUAGCGUUGUUCGGAAUUACUGGGCGUAAAGCGCACGUAGGCGGAUCAACAAGUCAGGGGUGAAAUCCCGGGGCUCAACCUCGGAACUGCCUCUGAUACUGCUGGUCUGGAGUCCGGAAGAGGUGGGUGGAAUUCCUAGUGUAGAGGUGAAAUUCGCAGAUAUUAGGAAGAACACCGGUGGCGAAGGCGGCCCACUGGUCCGGUACUGACGCUGAGGUGCGAAAGCGUGGGGAGCAAACAGGAUUAGAUACCCACGUAGUCCCUGAGCGGGCUGGCAAGGCGCAU
rnacentral:rRNA from 1 species